rfam:Porphyromonas sp. HMSC065F10 Porphyromonas_spHMPREF2890-1.0_Cont934.2, whole genome shotgun sequence.
AAUAUCCGGGCAAGUCCUACACGGCCAGCUCCCCACGAAUCCCCCCAGGGCUUGAUCGCAGCAAGGGUAGUGGGUUGUAGCGGCGCGAUGUAGACAGCUUGCCCACCC